GGGAUCAAAUUUGAGCUGCAGCUGCAAUCUACACCAUAGCUGCAGCAACACCAGAUCCUUAACCCACUGCUCCAGGCUGGGGAUGGAACACCUCCAGAACUGCUGCAGUCAGAUUUUUAACCUACUGCACCAAAGCAGGAACUCCUGGAAAUGCAGCAUUUUUAAUUUGUUCACUGCUCCGCACACUCACUCACAACUCCAAGACUCACAUCAAUGUGGAAAACACUUUGAACCAAAAGGCACAGUUCCCAGCCUUAUGCAAAAUGACACAUUAGCCAGAGAAUGAGGUUUAACCUCGGUCAGGUGGCAGGGCACAAGACAGACUGUGAAUAUCUGUGCUAAUUCUGAAACAGUAUAAAUUCCUGGCCGUCUUAACAAAAUACAGUGCUCUUUUAUGUGGCUGCGCACAGUCAGGCCAGUAUCAUGGUUCAGAGCAUGGAUGCUGGUGCCAGGUUGCCGGGGUUGGUCAGCAUUUCAAGCUUGGGCAGAUGAUUUCACCUGCCUGCACCUCCAUGUCCCCAGGUGUGAAUGAGCAGGAGGAUAAUACGCCCUGCAAAAGAUUUUAAGAGGAAUACGCCAGUUGGCGAACAUGGAGAAGUAAAACUGGUGUGUGGCCCGGAGGGUGCCCUAUGUGAGUGUUUGCUAUUGUUAUGAAUACAUUUAUGAUCUUGUAUAUUUCAGGAACCCAGUUUGGAAAGUGAGACACAAAAAUCAGUCUGAGAAAGUAAAGUUUAUACGUACAAAGUGGUCUCAAAAUUCUUAACAAGGUAAACCGUUGUUUGGUUUUAAAGAGCUUUUAACAGUCUCAGAAUGCAUUUUUCUCCUGAGCCCAAAGAAAAACCAAUAAAACACUUUAGAAAAUUAGUUCCAUUGUGGUAUACCUUUUAGCAGUUACUUAUGACUUAGAGAUUAGGAUCCCAAAGGAUUAUUUGGCUUAUCCAGGUUUUUUCAUAACCUCUAAUUUAUAUAAUGAUUCAGUCAUACAAUAGAGAAGGGACCUUGUCUUAAACUUUUAAAACAAGUGCAACAUGGAGUAGAAGUACAGGGACAGGCACUCAGCAAGUAUUCAUGACUGAUGUCAUUAGCACCAUGGCUCGGAUCCAUCAUGGUUAUGAGCCUGGUACCCAGCAAAUGCUUUACAUUCGCUGGGUCACUUCAUCUUCACAGCAACCUUUUGUGUAGGCUCCAUCAUUAUGUCCAUUCUUAGGGAAGCAAUUAAAACUUAAUGAGGUCAAUUAAAUGACCAAGUACCACACAGCCUGUAGCGUGGCUGAGGUCAGGAAUGGAACCCAGGCUGGCUGAAAACAACUGAGCGAUAACACCCCAGACUUUUCUCUUAGAGUCAGUCACUGUUACCCUCUGCCACAUUUGCUUUAUUGCUCUCUGUCCCUAUCCAUCUCUCUCUCUCUCUCUGUCUGUAUCUAUAAGCAGACCUGGCCUCUUACCUCUAAAUUCUUUGGCAUAUAUUUCCUAAGACUAAGAACAUGCUCCUACACAAUGAACACCCAUGAUUAUGCCAUCCAUGUGUGGUUCAAAAAGAAAAAGAAAACAGGAAUGGAAGCUACUUUUUAUCCAUAACUUCAGAUGAUUAUAUCUGAUGGAAUUCUCCAGCUUUAUCCCACAAUGAUUAUACCUGGUGGACUGAGAUCCAAGCCUAGAAUGCUCUGAAUGUUAACGACCCAUUACCAAUCUGGAAAACCAACACAGCUCAUUGAUCUAUUUACACAUUUAUAAGCUCUUACUGCACUACCUCUCCAAGAAUCUGCAUAUUAGUUAAAUUUUACUGAAAUGCGCUAAUGCCAAAGCCAAGCCAGCUGUGCAGACAGGGAUGCCUUUGGAGGGUCUCAAGGGUUUACCGAGGGUGAGCCAUGUGUCAGGUAUAGAGGGGAGACCUAGUCCCUGCCCUCAAGCACACCUCAGCACUAACCAAGGAGACAACCCCAGUGCAGUGUAAGGAGUGCUCCCGCAGAGCAUGGAGAAAGGACUGGUUGACCACCUUGGGGGUGACAGUGGGAAGGGUCAUAUCAGAAGACAAAGCGAACCCAGCCUCGAGCAGUUUGUUCUCUGCCAGGGAAAAAGAAGGCAAAGUGGACACAACUGUGUUUUAGGAGCUAUUUGCAGUAGGUCUCUCUGAAGCCUAAGAGUGUGUUUGAGAUUAUGUCUAGAGAUGACUUUGUGUGGAGCCACAGACACGACCCUCAUCUGAGUACAAUGCUGUGGGGUGUAAGAGGGAAAUGGGAUGGUGUUUGCCUUCUAACAGGGGAGCCUAUACAUGAGGCAUCUUAAGAAAACCAAUUUUUAAACAGGCAAAACCAAACUGUUUCCAGAACUUUCUCAGUUUGUCUCACAUCAUUCUCGGUGCACAAAAUUUUCCUUGCCAUGCUGGCAUUGUCGAAAUAGAAAUUUAUGAACUGUGGCUUUUGGAAAUAGAAAGGCUGAUUUUUCCUGUAAUGCCAGACAUAAGGGACCCUAUACAUGUAACUAACAAAUAGCUUACACAUAAUAAGUUCCAAAGGAGGCAUUUUAUUAAAAUUCAGUGUGGAGAAUAAGCACUGUGAACUCACAGAGGGGGCCUCCUAGAAGAGGCAACACUUAAAGGAUGGCAAACACUCAGAGCUGAUAACUGCCACCACUUUCCCUUUUUCCUGUGGGGCAGAGUGCGGGGAGCAGAGAGAAAAGAGAUUGAAAAUAAAUUAUAAAUGAAAAAGAGAAAACUAUCACAAAAAUUCUCUUCUGGACAUGUGAUACUUUAAAGUUUAAUCGUCAGGUAGGUGGAAAACCUUUUGUGUAAAUGUGAAAGAAGAAUGAAUGGCCAUGAUUUAAAGCAACAGAAUGCAUCUCCCCCAAGUGCUCUCCUUCCCAACACUUGUUUUAUCCGUGUUAGUUCAAAAACAUUUUCCUGGAGUUUCAGGCCUGCGGCUGCGCCAGUGUAAAGUCAGGGUGCAGAGGAAGUCCCCCUCUGUGAUGCCUGGGUCCAAGAGGGGGAACUGGACUGGGGCUGGCUCUCCACCUACUUCUGCUUACUCUACAGAUUGAUUCAGGGGUGUGUGUGUGGGGGGAUAUUUCUAACCUGUUUUUUUUUCCACAGCCUUAUCUGAAAAGUGAAGGUAUUAAUCACUGUCCCUAACAGAACUGGUGGGACGGUUACUUCUCUUGUAAAUAAGUUCCAAAGGAGCUUAAGUAAAAAACUUCCUGGUUUUCAAAUUAGGGAAAGCAGAAUAAUUCUCCAAAGCCAGUAUGCUUUCUCGUUUGCCCAUGCACGAUUAAACGGUCACUCAACGCAAUGUCUCCAUAGUGAGCCUGUGUAUGCACAUUGGUUUUCUUCUGAGAAAGUUCAAAAAUAAGUCAUACCUAGUUUUCUGUGUCAAUAUCAUUAUCGGUAUAUAUCUUUAAAAACACUCAAAAUGCAGAAAAGUAUUGUCUGUUAAAGCUGUUUCAUGUGCAAACCAGUCUUUUCAAUAAGGAACUCAUAAUUUAGACAAAGUAGGUGUUUAAAGAAUUCUUUCAACUACUAAGAAGAGGGGUGUUUUGUUAGAUUUUUAUGGAAGUAAAUGAAAUAUCAUAACAUAGGGAGUUUAUAAUUUUUUUCCUCAGCAAUGGCUUUAUUCAUGGAACUUCCCUUAAAUGUAAAGUUAAUGAUAUGAAAGGUUAAUGAUAUGAAAGGUAAUUUUAUCAUUCAUCAAGAGGUCAGGAUAUGGGUUAUUUCUACAGAACAGUUCAUCUUAUUUUUAGGAGAUAGCCAUUUGUGUGCUUUUGUCAUCCCAGUUAGUUACCAUCUUAAUCAGUAGCAGGUCACACUGGCAGUCCCUCUUUAAUGAUGGAACUCAUGUGGAUUCAAAAAGAAGAUAAUCUUCUUUGCCCCAUUUCUUUAUAGCACACAAGUUGACUUAACUCUAAAAUCAGUUACUGACGUGUAACACAGAAUAAUCAUAUUCUACAGAAAAUGUGAUUUAAAAAAAAAAAAACAAACCACAAAUAAACACCCUUUAGAAAACCAGUCAUUUGAAUUAUAUCUUUCUACCACAGAAUGCUGAAGGUCCUUAUGAGAAAUUCCUGAGAAAAUUAAACAUUUUACAUGUGGUUUUAUAUCACAUACAAGUUGAAACACAGAGGACUAAACUCAAACUCAAGCGAUACUGUUUUAAAUUCUUAAUUUGUAGCUGUUUUAGGCUGGAUGUGAAAAGGAUGAGUUCUCAGAAGAUUUGGGGUGUACCCUCAUCCUUCCUCUAAAUCACUCCUUAUCCCCAUUAAAACUUACCCACCCCAUCCUCCCUCCUCUGUUCUAGAUCUCUCCUUUCAAAGAUAACUAGCCAAAUGAACAUAAUAAACAAGUCCAAGCAGUUGGAGGGGCGGCCGCCACCCCACCGUCUCCAAAUAACUGAUUCGCAUUUCCGAGACGGUUCACCUGAAGCCUUGCCUGCCACCUUGGUUCUCCCACCUGAAGGAGAUGGUUCUAAUGGUAAGAAAUUCAGACUAAGUAGAAGGGAAGGGAAGCACUAAGACAGAGGUACAAUUUCCCAAGAUGAACAAUAAGCAGAAACUUUCUCAGGAUCUUGAUUUUUACAGGCCUUCUUUCAUCUUCCCUGCUUGGUUUUAGGACCUCAAUCAAAACAGCCAACUUCAGAAUUUAGGGAAUUAGAGCUAAGUUCUGAUGGGAAAGCCCAACACUGUUUUCUUAUGCAAUUUAGAUGCUAGUGAAUGGAUCCAAAUAGAAAUUCACAUUGAAUUCCAUUUUAAGGAUUAUGUUUUUUACUGGUACACAAACAAUGUAAAUAAACAUGGGGAAAUAGUUAAAGGGAGCCACCUAAACUUAAUCAUUUUAAUUUUCAAAAGCAUAGUUACCUUCCUUUUCAUCUAUUAAAAUGGCUUUGGAGCUAGAAUGCACCUGGCUUCAUCAACAUAGGAUCAUGCCUUUCAGUAGAAAUAAGUGUAUAUUCACUUCUUAGCAACAAAUUAAUAGUUUCCAAAUAUUUGUACCUUUCAAGGUGAAUAAAGUCAAGGCUCUCUCACCAUGGCUUGGUUAUAAGGGUCAACCACUGUGACUCUUUUCUUUUUAAAGAAAACGCUAUAGCAUGCAGUUCUUUUGGUAUGCAAAUGAGUGGCUGGUGCUGAAAAUAAGCAGCAAAAUAAGAAAAAAUAUAUAUAUAUAUAAUUGUGGAAGGAUCUAACUUAUGACUCAUGUGUGAAGAGAUCCUUAGUGACAAACUUAACACAUAUUUUACUGAUAACAUCUUUCCUGGCAAAUCAGUAAGGUAAAAGGGUAUAUUCAAAUCAUAUGGUCCCCUCUCUAAAAAAAUUAUCCUUCAGAAAAGCAUAAUUUAAGGAGAUUUUCCCCAGAGUGCUGCCUUCGGCUUAGUUCUAUCUGAGGAAGACUAGGUCUGCCAUGUAAGGAAAGGAAUCUAUUGUUAUUUACUAGUACAUCUAGUUCUUCAUUUGGGUAGAUUUUUAUUCACAGUAAGAAGGAAUGGUUUUGACCCCCAAUUCCUGAGAACUAAAUUGUUAAGAACUACAUUUAACUUGGAACCUAUCUUCGGCUACUGAAAAGAACUGUGCUACAGUCAAGUUUACAUUCACAAUAGCUAUUUCAUGCUGUGGGCCUAAAAGUACUAUGGAGCGAGAGGGCUUGAAGUAUGUCUUUCAGAACUGCCAAAGUCAAGAAGACCCUCACUCUAAUUUGUAUUGAAUAACCCAUAUCCAUUUUUCUGCACUGCUGUACACUACACAUGAUGCUUGCUAGUUUUAGGAAGUGGUUAGCAGCUAUAGCUGUUGAUUGCUGGGUCUGUAACUUUGUAUAAUUCUUCUCCUACCACAUUACCAGCUGGCUGGCUGUACAGAUUCCAGAAGAAGCCACUUUUUUAUUACCUCGUGACAUCACUCUGUGCCCAAUGCCUUGGCUAAUAGACUAGCCUUUGUUGUCUGUGAUCAUGGAUUUCCACUCACAGAGCAGUUGUCAUUGGUUAGCUGGGGUCCUCUUUGCAAACCCAGGCCAAAACAUCAAAAGGGGAGCACAGCUUCAACACUGGUGGGCCCUUCUAAUGUCUAAACGUCUGACUCUACUUGCUAUUCUGCAAUAAUUUUGCCUUUAUUCUGUUUGCUGGGGUUUUUGUUUUUCAUCUCUCAUUAUAUUUUUAAUGAGAUUUAAGAUUGUGUAGUGUAUUUAGACAAACUGCUCAUUUUGUGCCAUUUUAGGAGAACCUGAGGAAUCAGGCCCGAGAAGUUUGUCUAGAUAACAUAGUACCAUGGUUUCUGAGCAUUGAGAACAAAAGGGGACCUAUAUGAUGUUUUUAUUUCAGCACAUCUUUUGUGUUUGAGCCAAUAAUAAUUAAAAAAAGGCUGUUAGAGUUUUUAAUAAAAUAGAGCACAUUAUGAAAAACACUGUCAUUUUUCUGAGCACUCUAAUCAGGCAAUUGUGAAAAGAUGAGAGAAAAAAAAUUAUUAUAUUAAAUGUAUUUCUCUUAAUACCUGUGCUCAGAUGUCACCUUUACAAAACAGGAGUAAAAUUUAUGAGUAGAACAGUAUGCAAGCCAUUCACCUUAAAUACGAAUUAGAAAAAAGCUCUUUAAGAGAAGGUUAAGUUAUAGGGCUGGAGGAACUAACAUAACCAAGCAUUUCCUGUGUCCAAGACUGUGGAGGGAGAAAAAAGUCCUUAUUUUGACAAUCUUUAUUGACCGAAAGUCUGUAAAAAUAAACUAAAAUCCUGCAUUGACAUCAUUCACUUCAGAGCUCUUCAUCAUUAAAUGAAUUCAUCUCAGAAAACAGCCGAGUUAAAGAAAAAAGGUACUCUCAGUAAGAAUGACAAAUUUCCUUGGUUUGGAAAUUUCCAAACCACGAUAUUCUGCCCUCUCAAAAUAUAUUCAUUGGGGAAUUUUUAACUUGUGAUACACUUCUUUUGAACUUAAUCACAAUUUUACAUCUAGCUGGUUUCAUGAUUAAAUAAAAGAGAAGGUGAUUCCCCUUUUGCACUAAAGGAGACCACACACUAACUUCUAGGUUCUUCUAUAGUAACACCGAAACCAGAAGCUUGUGGGAGAAAUGUCACUUUAUCUGAGAGAGUAAAAUCAGGCUCUAACAGGAAGUAGCAAAUUCAUCUCUUUCUUUUUUAAUCCACUCCUCUGCUCAAGACAAGUAGUUUGAAACCAAGCACUCUGUAAGUCAUACUUCCUUUACGUAGAUCAAAACCAAAGCCACUGUAGUGCUUUCCCCUAAGGAAUCUCUAAAUAGAAGAUGAUAUAGGCAGUUUACAAUGGAUUCCUUUGUAGGCAAGACCUCCCCUGCCUAUGCCACAUCUUCUGAAAAAAAUAAAAUAAAGGUAAAACCUCAACUAUUUAUUACAGCAUGAAAAUCUACUCCAAACUCUACCUUUGUAAAGCAAGUUAAUUUCAGUUUUAAUCUUUAUGAAUCAUAAAGUAUUAUUUUUAAUAUUCUGGCCUUUCACAUCAAUUACCUUGUGUCCAGGUGAGAUAUAAAUCAGAAAAGGUAGCGCUCUAUCAGAACACAAGGUCUCCCCUCUGCGUUUUAGCAUUUGGGGACUUGCAAGAGUGGUUUCAUUUUUGUUUUAAAGAUGGUACGUAUGAGUAAAUCAUCCAAAGCAACUGCAGGAUAGAAUUUAAAACAUAAGAAUUCUACAAGUCUUCAGAUACAAUGUGAGGUAAAAAUGUCAUCAUUUAAUUGCCAAUUUCUCUACCCACUUCGACAAAUGACUGACUAGGAUUUAAUGAGCUCUUUCCCU
rnacentral:lncRNA from 1 species